UAUGUGAUCGUCUCUCGCAUAUCAAUAAGCGGAGGAAAAGAAACUAACAAGGAUUCCCCUAGUAACGGCGAGUGAAGCGGGAAGAGCUCAAAUUUGAAAUCUUAAAGGGUUUCCCUUUACGAAUUGUAGUUUAAAGAAGUGUUUUCUGUUGAGGUUUUGGUAAAAGUUCUUUGGAAUAGGACAUCAUAGAGGGUGAGAAUCCCGUAUUUGACCUUUACUUUCAACUUUGUGAUAUACUUUCAAAGAGUCGGAUUGUUUGGGAAUGCAGUCCAAAAUGGGUGGUAAAUUUCAUCUAAAGCUAAAUAUUGGCGAGAGACCGAUAGCGAACAAGUACCGUGAGGGAAAGAUGAAAAGAACUUUGAAAAGAGAGUUAAACAGUACGUGAAAUUGUCAAAAGGGAAGCGUUUGACACCAGUGUUGUUUUUCUGAAAAUCAAUUAAAGAACUGUUUAUGCUAAGUUGUUUAGACUUUAUCAGCUAACUGUUUAGUUUUGAGCUUUUCUUUAAUGCACUUUUCAGUUAACAAGUCAACAUCAAUUUCUUUUGCUGUAAAAAAGCUUGAGGAAGGUGGCUUGAGAUUCGUCUUAAGUGUUUAUAGCCUCUUGCCUAUGCAGUCGGAGAGAUUGAGGUCUGCAGCGUAGAUCCUUCGGGGCUAAAUGCAUUUGUGCUAAGUUAUAGCAUUUUAUAGACAACUUGUUGACUAUGAUUUGUCUUGUAGCUUACUCGCUUAUGUUAUUUUACCUACGCUUAGGAUGUUGACACACGCGCGUGCUCG
rnacentral:rRNA from 1 species